UUCUGUGCAUGCAGUACGACGGUUGUAGUUUGAACCAGUUCUGGAAGCUCCCACACAGGUGGGUGUGUCUUAUCCCUUGCAGAUGAAGGAAGCUAUUGACUUUUAAAUAAGGGUCCUCUGUAGACGCUCGAUGUAAUUGCAUACAUGAACGUUCAGCAGAACACCAAGUUUGAACGUGGCGAGGGUACGAAGACGAGGAGAGUGCUAACUAUUCAUGAGAAUGCUGCUGAACCAGACAGAGUAUCUGCAUCAAAACUACAGUUUACAUUACAUGUGGAGACACCAUCAAGAAAGUCUCAAACUACAACACGUACAAUGAUGCGCUUCUUCUCCAGCUUGGGGAACUAUGCCUUUGAUUUGGAUUAUCCAAAGUAUUUUCACGUGCUUUGAGUUCUUUUCAAAAAAUCAUAAUUAGAGAAAAGUUUUCCUGGCAGAUUCCAGCAAAUUGAUGCAGUUCACUACAAGGUAUUUGUGUAUAAAUUAAUUAGAUAUAUUGUUGAAAUCUCAGCUAAAGAUCAAUACUUCAAACUGUAACGCAAACCUUCAUAGGUUUUAAAAAACAAGUAUAAUUCAUUGAAUUGGAAAAUAAUUGAUUUUAGCCCUAUAUACAGAUAUAUUCAUUUACUUCAAAUUCACCCUUUUUGUGUUUGUUUAUGUUUUUGUUUCUUUGUUUUGAUACUUGUGAAAAAUGUAAUUGGUCUUAAUGUUGGGGUCUUAAAAAAAGGAUUGUUGGAAACAUACUGAUAGGCAUGUGGCAUAUUCACAUAAAUGUCACAUUAUUUUUGCUGUCGUGAUGUACAAUAUUCUCUAGGGGUGACCAUAAAAAUACAUUUGUAUUUUAUUGUGUCCAUUUUCAUGAUUCGAUAGAACUGAAUAGGCCUUUCACCACAAUCCUAUAGGUGAAAAUGAAGACAGCUUUGUGAAGUGCCCUAAAUGCGUUUAUUUCAAUGUUGUUAAUAUUGUGACUGAAGUUUUACUUGCAAUUUUGAAUACUGUUCGAAAACUAAACACAC